AAACUGGAGUAUAAAUAGAGGAUAAUGGAAUUUCUAUUGGAGUGAUAAAAUACGUUGAUAAUAGAAGGAAGAUCUAUGGCGAAGGCAAUUAUCUGGGUAUAUACUGACACUGAGAAACGAAAGCUUGGGUAGCGAACGGGAUUAGAUACCCCGGUAGUCCAUGCUGUAAACGAUGAGUGCUAAUAUUUAGAAUUUUUAGAUAUAACAGCUAACGCGUUAAGCACUCCGCCUGAAAAGUAUAAUCGCAAGAUUGAAAUUCAAAGGAAUUGACGGGAGUCUACACAAGCGGUGGAGCAUGUGGUUUAAUUCGAUAAUACGCGCAGAACCUUACCAACUCUUGCUAAUUUUUAUAUAAAAUAUUAUAUAAAAAACAGGCGUUGCAUGGCUGUCGUCAGCUCGUGUUGUGAAAUGUUUGGUUAAAUCCUUUAACGAGCGCAACCCUUAUUGUUAGUUGCUAAUUUACUAAAAAAAAUAAAAGUACUCUAACAAAAAAAUUAAUGAUAGGUUAAUGGAAGGUGGGGAUGACGUCAAGUCUUCAUGGCCCUUAUGAGUUGGGCUACACACGUGCUACAAUGAUAAUCACAAUGAGAGGCAAUAAUGAUAAAAGUUGGAGCAAAUCUUUAAAAAUUAUCUUAGUUCGGAUUAAGGGCUGAAACUCGCCCUUAUGAAGUUGGAAUCGCUAGUAAUCGCAGAACAGCAUGCUGCGGUGAAUAUGUUACUGGACUUUGUACACACCGCCCGUCACAUCAGGGAAGUUGAUUAUUUUUAAAAUAAUUCUUAAUUAUUUAAUAUAAUUAUCUAAUUAUUUAAUUAUAUUAAUUUAUAAUUUAUAUUAAAUAACUUAAAAUUCCUAAAAAGUGAUUAGUAACUUUGAUGAAGUCGUAACAAGGUAGUCGUAGGGGAACCUGUGUCUG
rnacentral:rRNA from 1 species